GAGGUAGAGGCGCAAAAUGCUAAUAGUCUUUAGGGGAGCUAGAGAGAGUGAUGAAUCUAAGGAGAAGGAGCUUUUGCCGAAGUUUGUAGUAGUUCUCGAUACUACAUGCUGGGUCUAUGGUUAAGAGCCAUAGGACUGUCUUAGUAAACUUCCCCAGUU
rnacentral:ncRNA from 1 species